GACGAACGCUGGCGGCGUGCUUAACACAUGCAAGUCGAACGGAAAGGCACUGCUUUUGUGGGGUGCUCGAGGGGCGAACGGGUGAGUAACACGUGAGUAACCUGACCUAGACUUUGGGAUAACUUCAGGAAACUGGGGCUAAUACCGGAUAGGAGCUCCUGCUGCAUGGUGGGGGUUGGAAAGUCUCGGCGGUCGGGGAUGGACUCGCGGCUUAUCAGCUUGUUGGUGGGGUAGUGGCUGACCAAGGCUUUGGAGGGUAGCUGGCCUGAGAGGGUGGACGGGCUCCAUGGGACUGCGGGAGGGCGCAGUCGCGAAUGGGGGGCAACGGGGGGGAACAUUGCCCAACGGGCGCAAGCCUGAUGCAGCGGCGCCGCGUGCGGGAUGACGGCCUUCGGGUUGUAAACCGCUUUCGCCUGUGACGAAGCGUGAGUGACGGUAAUGAGUAAAGAAGCACCGGCUAACUACGUG
rnacentral:rRNA from 1 species